UACGUAGGGGGCAAGCGUUGUCCGGAUUUAUUGGGCGUAAAGAGCGUGUAGGCGGCUAGGUAGGUCCGUUGUGAAAACUCGAGGCUCACCUCGAGACGCCGGUGGAAACCAUCUAGCUAGAGUCCGGAAGAGGAGAGUGGAAUUCCUGGUGUAGCGGUGGAAGUGCGCAGAUAUCAGGAGGAACACCGAUGGCGAAGGCAGGUCUCUGGGCCGCAACUGACGCUGAGGAGCGAAAGCAUGGGGGAGCGAACAGG
rnacentral:rRNA from 1 species